UGAUGGAGGGGGAUAACUACUGGAAACGGUAGCUAAUACCGCAUAAUGUCGCAAGACCAAAGUGGGGGACCUUCGGGCCUCAUGCCAUCAGAUGUGCCCAGAUGGGAUUAGCUAGUAGGUGGGGUAAUGGCUCACCUAGGCGACGAUCCCUAGCUGGUCUGAGAGGAUGACCAGCCACACUGGAACUGAGACACGGUCCAGACUCCUACGGGAGGCAGCAGUGGGGAAUAUUGCACAAUGGGCGCAAGCC
rnacentral:rRNA from 1 species